rnacentral:rRNA from 1 species
AGUGAACGCUGGCGGCAGGCCUAACACAUGCAAGUCGAACGGCAGCACAGAACAAGUUGGCUCUUUCCGGAGGCGAGGCGGGGACGUGUGAAGAAUCUAUGAGACUCUACUUUUUCGGGGGGGAUAACCUAGAGACACUUGCGCAUAUACCGCAUCCUCCCAACGGGUGAGAGCAGGGGCUCUUCGGCCCUUGCGAGAUUGAAUGAGCCGAUGUGGGAUUAGCUAGUUGGCGGGGUAAAGGCCCACCUAGGCGACGAUCCCUAGCUGGUCUGAGAGGAUGAGCAGCCACACUGGAACUGAGACACGGUCCAGACUCCUACGGGAGGCAGCAGUGGGGAAUAUUGGACAAUGGGCGCAAGCCUGAUCCAGCCAUGCCGCGUGGAUGAAGAAGGCCUUCGGGUUGUAAAGUCCUUUUGUUGGGGAAGAAAAGCGUAAGGUUAAUACCCCGCCGUAUUGACGGUACCCAAAGAAGAAGCACCGGCUAACUUCGUG